rnacentral:lncRNA from 1 species
GUGAGUAAAUUCUGUAUAGAAAGUAAAAAAUUGCUGCCUCGAAUUGUCUACCCACUGGUCCUGGUUGUGCCCCUGAGGCUGUUCAAAUAACCACAUCCGUUUCCCACAUGUAGGCCUUUCAGAUGUUUGGGGGCAGCACACAGACCCUCUGUCCAUGUCCUCUCUCUUGGCUAAGUGUCCACAGUCCCCCAGACAUCCCUCCUGGGGUCUGCUUUCAAGUGCGUUCAUCAUCCUGGCUGCUGACCUCUCAUCUGUGGCCCUCUUCAGGUGUGGCCCUCCUCGGGUGUGGCCCUCAGAGCUGAUCUCGCUCCCUGGACUUCUCUGGACAUGCCUGUUGCUUCUGUGGCCCCAUUAUCCUCCAGGCCAGUUAAGAGCUGUGGCUGCUGUUGGCAUAGCUGGUGGUGGCUGCUGUCUAAUUUCUCACUCAGCCCUACCUCUUUUGCUGCGUGGAACCAAACUGCGAUGGAGAAGCUCCUGGUCUAGCCCACUGUGGCAAACAAUGUUUGUCUUGAGAAUGGAAGCAAGCUGGGCAGCAGAAUGGAAAUCCAGUGUUAUUGGCAGGUCGGCUCAGGAUCAUUGCUCCAAUUCCUGGGGCAGCUGGGAGACAGAAGUGCUGAUGAGGAAAAUCUUAGUUGGCCCUGUGUCAGGUGAAGAGCAUGAGGCCAUGUACAAAAUCUGAAGACGAUUACUGCAGAACCCCAGCAUGCUUCAGGGAGUACUGUGGUCUCCAAGCCUGUCAGAGUCCCUUGAGAGGCAAUGCUGGGCCCCUCCCAGACGUCCCCCAAAGCUGGAGCAUGUUGGUUUCUGUUCUUCCACCUGGCACUGAGCUGUGGCUCACAGACAUUUUGCAUCAUUAGUUCCAUAUGCUGUUAUUUGGACAAAUUUAAGCUGAAGCAUAUUCCUGAAUGCCUGUAAGUGCUCAUGUUUAUCACUACAGCUCUUAUUCUGGCAGCAAAAGCUGCGUCAAAUGGUGGCCCUCUAAUAUCACAGGACCGAGAAGCCGAGCAGAAUGGCAACAUGCAGGCAGCAUCCCAGGGUGUGCCCAGGGUGCAGAACCCACCUCCAGCAGAGUGAGGGAAAGUCUUUUUUUGGUACCUUGCAUGGCCCAGGCACUGUGCUAGACUCAGGGGACAUAACCAGGGACAAGACAGACCCAGUCAGGCCCUCCAGAGAGCAGCGGUCCUCAGAUGUUGGCAAGCACCAUUUAAACACGAAGAUAUGUGGGCCCCAUCCCUCAGAGUUGGAGUCACUGGGUGUGGGGCAGCGCCUGGGAAUCUGCAUGUUCAACAUCCUUCUGCGUGACUGUGAAGCAGAGGGUCAGGUGACCGUGGUUUGAGAAAUACCGGCCUGGGGCCUCACUACUCAGAGCAUGGUCUGUGGACCUCUCCUCCCCCCGUCAGCAUCCCCUCAGAACUGGUUAGACAUGCAGAAUUUCAGGCUCCACCCCACCCCUACUGAAUCAUAAUGGGCAUUUUAAGCUGAUUCCCAGGAGGAUGUGUGUGCAGGUUAAAGUUUGGGAAGCAUUGCCAGUGCAAGGUCCAAGGGAGCUUUUUACCCUGCUUCUGUGUUGUUUUGAUAAGAGAACGAAUAUAUUCAUGUAUUACUUGGUAAUUAAAAAUAAAUUAAUGAAAAACUUGGCAUAAACCAGGAAAAUCUUGUACAGGAACGUUCAGAGCAGCUCUCUCCAUAAUGGCCCCAAACUGGGAACAGCCUAAAUGUCCAUCGCAGGUGAAUGGAUAAACAAAAGGCGGCAUAUUCAAAAAAUGGAAUACUGCUCAGCAAUAAAAAGGAACAACAUACAACAAUAUGGAUGCCAGUGCAUUGUACUAAGUGGAAGGAGCCUGACCCGAAAAGCUACAAGCAAGGAAGUAAAACUACUUUGCUACUGAAGGGAGAUUUCUUUCCCCACCCAGCAACAGCCCAGCCAAUGAAAAAUGCCACAGCCCAGCCAAUGAGAGACACUGCAGCUCAGCCAAUGAGAAAUGCCACAGCUCAGCCAAUGAGAGACACUGCAGCUCAGCCAAUGAGAAACGCCACAGCUCAGCCAAUGAGAGACACUGCAGCUCAGCCAAUGAGAAAUGCCACAGCUCAGCCAAUGAGAAGCCAUUGCUGUGCCUAACCACUCCUGGUGUGUCCCUACAUGAUUUGAAUCAAUUUUUGCUCAAGUAAACUCAAAAUUUUAGUAUGCCUCAGUUUAUCUUUUAACAAAGAUUAAGAACCUAUCUCUGGAGCCAGAUUGCUUGGAUUCUGUUUCCAGCUCUAUCAUCUGCUACCUGUGUGACCUUAGACAAAUUUUGCCUACUCUCUGUGCCUCAGUUUCCUUGUCUGUAAAACAGAAAAAGUGAUAGUACUUGUCUGGAAGAGCUGUGUCAGAAUUUUUAAAAGUCAUAUUAUUGUAAAGCAUUUAGGACA